GACAGGAGGUGCCGAGCGUUAGGCGGAAUCACUGGGCUUAAAGCGUGUGUAGGCGGGCGGGCAAGUACCUUGUGAAAUCCCACGGCUCAACCGUGGAACGGCUGGGUAUACUGCCUGUCUUGAGCCAACUAGGGGCGAGCGGAACAGACGGUGGAGCGGUGAAAUGCGUAGAUAUCGUCUGGAACGCCAAAGGUGAAAACAGCUCGCUGGGGUUGUGCUGACGCUGAGACACGAAAGCCAGGGGAGCGAACGGG
rnacentral:rRNA from 1 species